GGGGAAUAUUGCACAAUGGGCGCAAGCCUGAUGCAGCGACGCCGCGUGGGGGAUGACGGCCUUCGGGUUGUAAACCUCUUUCACCAUUGACGAAGCUCCCUUUUUGGGGGGUGACGGUAGGUGGAGAAGAAGCACCGGCCAACUACGUGCCAGCAGCCGCGGUAAUACGUAGGGUGCGAGCAUUGUCCGGAAUUACUGGGCGUAAAGAGCUCGUAGGUGGUUUGUCGCGUUGUUCGUGAAAUCCCACGGCUUAACUGUGGGCGUGCGGGCGAUACGGGCAGACUGGAGUACUGCAGGGGAGACUGGAAUUCCUGGUGUAGCGGUGGAAUGCGCAGAUAUCAGGAGGAAUACCGGUGGCGAAGGCGGGUCUCUGGGCAGUAACUGACGCUGAGGAGCGAAAGCGUGGGGAGCGAAC
rnacentral:rRNA from 1 species